GAGGGGCCCGCACAAGCGGUGGAGCAUGUGGUUUAAUUCGAUGCAACGCGAAGAACCUUACCUGGGCUUGACAUCCCGAGAAUCCCCUGGAAACAGGGGAGUGCCCUUCGGGGAGCUCGGAGACAGGUGCUGCAUGGCUGUCGUCAGCUCGUGUCGUGAGAUGUUGGGUUAAGUCCCGCAACGAGCGCAACCCUUGUCUUUAAUUGCCAUCAUUGAGUUGGGCACUUUAAAGAGACUGCCGGUGUUAAACCGGAGGAAGGUGGGGAUGACGUCAAGUCCUCAUGGCCUUUAUGCCCAGGGCUACACACGUGCUACAAUGGGUGGUACAAAGGGUAGCGAUGCCGCGAGGUGAAGCCAAUCCCAAAAAGCCGUCCACAGUUCGGAUUGGAGUCUGCAACUCGACUCCAUGAAGCCGGAAUCGCUAGUAAUCGUGGAUCAGCAUGCCACGGUGAAUACGUUCCCGGGCCUU
rnacentral:rRNA from 1 species